rnacentral:rRNA from 1 species
AUUGAACGCUGGCGGCAGGCCUAACACAUGCAAGUCGAGCGGAUGAAGGGAGCUUGCUCCUGGAUUCAGCGGCGGACGGGUGAGUAAUGCCUAGGAAUCUGCCUGGUAGUGGGGGAUAACGUCCGGAAACGGGCGCUAAUACCGCAUACGUCCUGAGGGAGAAAGUGGGGGAUCUUCGGACCUCACGCUAUCAGAUGAGCCUAGGUCGGAUUAGCUAGUUGGUGGGGUAGAGGCCUACCAAGGCGACGAUCCGUAACUGGUCUGAGAGGUUGAUCAGUCACACUGGAACUGAGACACGGUCCAGACGCCUACGGGAGGCAGCAGUGGGGAAUAUUGGACGAUGGGCGAAAGCCUGAUCCAGCCAUGCCGCGUGUGUGAAGAAGGUCUUCGGAUUUUAAAGCACUUUAAGUUGGGAGGAAGGGCAGUAAGUUAAUACCUUGCUGUUUUGACGUUACCAACAGAAUAAGCACCGGCUAACUUCGUG